rnacentral:lncRNA from 1 species
GUGGUAUGAUUGCCAAUGAGACAACUAUCCACAAAAGACCAAAAUGACAUUAACAACUAGGUCACCGUACGGCCUUCAACAAUGAGCAAAGCCUAUAUCGCAUAAUCAGCUUAAAAGGCCCUGAUAAGAAAAUGUAAAGCAAUUCAAACGAGAAAACUAACGGCCUUAUUUAAGUAAAAAAAUUAACGAAUAUAAAUAUGUAACACAUAAACAAACGACAACCACUGAAUUACAGGCUCCUGACUUGGGACAGGCACAUAUUAAAUAAUUUCUAUUCUACACAUGUACCUUAUCAAAUGAUGAGUAAAACAUGCUUGAAACUUUAAAUAAAGCGGCUAUACAUUCUAUCUUGUAAAUGACCUCUUAAUGGCGUGCAAAAUUUACAAUUUUCCCCGUGAACG